ensembl:lncRNA
CUGAAAUCCUGGGCUCAGGUGACUCUCCUGCCUGGGUCUCAUACACAGCUGGGAAACAGGCACACUCCUCUACACCCAGCUGUGACUGUCUUGUAGUGUUUGUACCAGAAGUGUGUGGGCGAACAGCAAUUCUGUAUCAAGCAGAAACAGGGAAGUGUCUUACAAUCUCGCCCUCCCCUUUCUAACACACACUGUAGCUUGUGUGGUGCUGGUCCUCUCGGGAAACUUCUGUUGCUGAAGAUGGUGAGCAGUCACCUCCUUGGAGGCAUUGGAGACGACUUGGGCAGGUUCGAAGGUCCUCCCCGGUCAUUUUCCUCGGUGACCUUCCUACGGCAGCUACCAUGGAGCCGUGCAUGUCUAAAUUCUCGGGAAGCAGCAAUGAAAAGAACGGUGAUCUGUACUAUGCUUCCUGGAUUCCAGUCCUCUUUCAUGGUUUAAUCUUCAGUACUGCAAAAAACAAAAAGAAAAGAAGAUAGAAGAAAGAAGAAAGAAGGAGAAGGAGAAGGAGGAGGGGAAAGAAGGAGAAGGAGAAGAAGAUGGUAAAACCUCAAAACCCAAAGACAAUGCCUGGCUGGGAUAGCCCACGAUGCGCCUAUUUAGUGUUGACAGAGGAAAUCCUGCCUCAUGAGUCGGGUGCUCUCUCCUGUUGGAGGGCGCUCAGGAGCAGCCCUAGGGCCUGAGCCUCCUCUGCCCAUGCGGCGAGAAGGAAACAGCCCACUGGACACUGCCGUGAGCUGCAGUGAUGCUGAAUCAUGCAGCAUUUCCCAAAAAGUUUUCCUGGAUGCCACAGAUUAUCUCACUCUUCUUGACUGCUGUUUCUCUUCAGUAUCUGAUUUUUUAAAAAUCCCUCAUCUGCUAAUUUGCCUGUAAGGACAAUGACCCUGAAAGCAGCACUGAUGUUUGCCAGGCGCCUUCCUGAAUGUUCACAAGAAGCAACCUGUCUAAUCCUUAGCACGGACUAAGUGAUAGCACCUACACUGACACAGAUAACAGUGUAUUGUAUUUGUGCUGUUGACAUUAUCUACCUUCCCGCCUGGCCUGUCAGCUUCUCAAGAAUUGGAAGCUUAUCUCUUAUCUCUUUGGUAUCUCAGCUUCCUCCAAUGCAGUAGGAAUUCAAAGGAGUAAACUGUUGAAGAGAGCCCCUAAUUUUGCUCCUGAUCUCAUAAAGACAGGCUCUUAAAACUGAAUAUGUGUAAGUACUACGAAGGCCACCAAGUCCCGGAAAUGUCAUCAGGUCCAGAACGGAAGAUCCUAUGACGAGGAAAACGGUAAGUAUGUGGGAUCUGCUGUUUUGAGAGCUCAUCAGUGCUUCUUGUGAAACACCGGAAGCAUGCUCAGCAUUUGUGUAAAAGAGGAAGAAAAUGUUUAAAAUGUCAGACACGUUGUGACUAUUUGAAUAUUCCCUGGUGACUUCCUGCACUACAUCUCUGAAAAUUUUCUGAUUUUCAUAUAUAUUCCAGUGGUAAGUGGUAUUUCCUGUGUCAACCUAGAAAACGGGACUUGACUGCUCACACACAGCAUCAGUAGCAGCAUGAGGUACAGGAGGGGAAAGGUUCAUUAGUGCAUGGAAGCAAAUUUGAAUUUUGAUUUUAAAAUAAGCCACACACACUGAAGGAAAAUAUGUGUAUGAAAGUGUAUGAGUAUCUUAUCAUGAAUUUACCAGCCUCAAGAAUAUUUUCUUUUAAAGUUUUUAAACUCUUGCCUUUCAGAGUUAGCCAAAGGUCUUUUUUUGUCUUGAACAUUGAAGUUGUUAGAUGUUAUGUCUGAAGAGACCACUCCAAGCAGAAUCAUGAAAAUUCUAGGUGGGAAAUUUGGCUAUUUUCCCCUCUUUUGCAAUACAAGCUGUUUCCUCACAGAAUACUCAGAUAUUUUUUCCAUUGCUGAUUAAAAUUACAUGAAUGAUGAAGCCAUUGCUGGUUCCCUUGGGAGAUUAUUCCACAGAAUAACAUAGGUCUUGGUAUAGGUAUGUGUAAUAUAUUUUCACUAAUCUUCAAUUCAGAGUUUCUUUUUCUUAGUUUCUUUCCAUUACUCCUUGACCACCUGCACAAUUUUUCAUCAAAGAUUGCUAUAUUUGGUAGGAAAGGAAACCUGCCAAAGUCCAUUAAAGAAAAAAAAUACAUAAUUUCAUGUUGAUCACAGCUUCUAAAGAGAAUUCCUAAGAAGAACUUCUGAGGUUCUAACUGCCUACCAAUAAUUAACCCUUGCUAUUUUAAAUGUAGUUGAUUCAUUUUUUUCCAAAGGAUUGAGAGAGUUCUGGUUUCCUUAAAGAGUAGUUGUGUGUGUGUGUGUGUGUGUGUGUGUGUGUGUUUGUGUGUGUGUGUGCGCAUGGUAGAGUUGUAUGAGUAUGUUGACGAUACCCCCUAAUCUUUGACCCCAUGGUCCCUUGAACUUUUUCAUGCUAGGCUGAUUACUUCUUCCUAGGUUUCCCAUUACCAAAACAACAAGAAGCGGGAUACCCACUUUUCAGCACAGAAUACUCAAAUGAACAAUCUGGGGACCUGGGUCCCUGUGUGGUUGAUGUGUAUAUGCCAACUUGAUCGCAUGCUUAUUGGGAAGGCACGAGGAGACUUUGUGAUUGUGGAUAUUUCAUAAACAUAUUUGA